CAUGGGAAAGUGGUAGAAAAUAGACACAAUUGUCUACUAGCAUCUAUUGUCCAGCACAUUUCCCUGAUUAGACAUUAAUGUCUAUGAUGUCCACCUUACUCCUAACCAUAUUUUCCCACCGGAAAACUUUACACCCUCCUGCUGUACACACACAGAGGCCUGAGGGAUCUUCCAGGAAUGGAGAUGCUUUUUCCAAUGAUCCAAUCAGUCAGUUCGUGACGAUUUAAUAUCUGUGGAUUUCUAAUCUGGAACAUAACCUGCUACGCAACAUGUUUGGCACAGUUGAGACCAAAAGAGCUGAAUAAAUCACUUAUUACAUUUUCAGAGGCAAAUAUGGAAGCUGGUGAAACCAUCACAGGUAAGAUCCACCUGCACAACCUUGGGACAACCUAAGGCAUGUUGCAACCACAAGUGCUUGACUUCAAUGCCACUGUGGGUAUUCACAAUGUGUGACACUAAUAUAUGUUUUUGUGCAGUGUGCAGGAACACGGGACAUGGUCCAACACAAAGUGAAAGUACAAAAAGAAAAGCAUGCUAAAAAAAAAAAAAAACAGGCAAGUAUGGAAGACUGGUUUGCUCAUGACAGGUAAGAUCUCCUUGCAGAACAAAGGCACAUGCAGUCAUGAGUACUUACCUGCGAGUGUUAAGCACAGCGUACAAUCUCAUGUUCUUGCAAAAGAACACACAAGACAAGAUUUUGACUGUAAUUCAGCUGAAUAGUGUUUGGGGAAGUUGUUAAGAUGGUUCCUAGUUUAGAGACAUUAGAAACUGCACAUGCUCAUCUUAAACUUCACCUGGACAACUUGGCAGACUCUGAAAUCCUUCUAGUCUCUGUGUCUCAGUAUUGUAGGUCAUCUCUCAUGUGACAGUUUAAACUGCCACCUCUCCUUCCUUGUUCAUCUGUGUGUAACCUCGUUGACUUUCUCUGCCACCAAACCUACACAUACUUUUUCUAAUGUGCCAACAUAGUUAACCUUUAGAUUCAACUUAAGGUUUCUUCCGGUGUCAAAUUUCUGAGCGGUAAAAACCCUGUGUGAGUAGUAAAUUAUCAUGGUUUUGUUACAAAAGACAAUAUCACUGUUUGUGGUUAACCUCACAAUUUUGC
ensembl:lncRNA